rnacentral:rRNA from 1 species
GGGCGUUAAGUUGCAGGGUAUAGACCCGAAACCCGGUGAUCUAGCCAUGGGCAGGUUGAAGGUUGGGUAACACUAACUGGAGGACCGAACCGACUAAUGUUGAAAAAUUAGCGGAUGACCUGUGGCUGGGGGUGAAAGGCCAAUCAAACCGGGAGAUAGCUGGUUCUCCCCGAAAGCUAUUUAGGUAGCGCCUCGUGAAUUCAUCUCCGGGGGUAGAGCACUGUUUCGGCUAGGGGGCCAUCCCGGCUUACCAACCCGAUGCAAACUGCGAAUACCGGAGAAUGUUAUCACGGGAGACACACGGCGGGUGCUAACGUCCGUCGUGAAGAGGGAAACAACCCAGACCGCCAGCUAAGGUCCCAAAGUCAUGGUUAAGUGGGAAACGAUGUGGGAAGGCCCAGACAGCCAGGAUGUUGGCUUAGAAGCAGCCAUCAUUUAAAGAAAGCGUAAUAGCUCACUGGUCGAGUCGGCCUGCGCGGAAGAUGUAACGGGGCUAAACCAUGCACCGAAGCUGCGGCAGCGANNUGCUGGAGGUAUCAGAAGUGCGAAUGCUGACAUAAGUAACGAUAAAGCGGGUGAAAAGCCCGCUCGCCGGAAGACCAAGGGUUCCUGUCCAACGUUAAUCGGGGCAGGGUGAGUCGACCCCUAAGGCGAGGCCGAAAGGCGUAGUCGAUGGGAAACGGGUUAAUAUUCCCGUACUUGGUGUUACUGCGAAGGGGGGACGGAGAAGGCUAUGUUGGCCGGGCGACGGUUGUCCCGGUUUAAGCGUGUAGGUGUGUGUUCCAGGUAAAUCCGGUUCACUUUAACACUGAGGCGUGACGACGAGGCACUACGGUGCUGAAGCAACAAAUGCCCUGCUUCCAGGAAAAGCCUCUAAGCAUCAGGUAACAUCAAAUCGUACCCCAAACCGACACAGGUGGUCAGGUAGAGAAUACCAAGGCGCUUGAGAGAACUCGGGUGAAGGAACUAGGCAAAAUGGUGCCGUAACUUCGGGAGAAGGCACGCUGACAUGUAGGUGAAGUGAUUUACUCAUGGAGCUGAAGUCAGUCGAAGAUACCAGCUGGCUGCAACUGUUUAUUAAAAACACAGCACUGUGCAAACACGAAAGUGGACGUAUACGGUGUGACGCCUGCCCGGUGCCGGAAGGUUAAUUGAUGGGGUCAGCGCAAGCGAAGCUCCUGAUCGAAGCCCCGGUAAACGGCGGCCGUAACUAUAACGGUCCUAAGGUAGCGAAAUUCCUUGUCGGGUAAGUUCCGACCUGCACGAAUGGCGUAAUGAUGGCCAGGCUGUCUCCACCCGAGACUCAGUGAAAUUGAACUCGCUGUGAAGAUGCAGUGUACCCGCGGCAAGACGGAAAGACCCCGUGAACCUUUACUAUAGCUUGACACUGAACAUUGAGCCUUGAUGUGUAGGAUAGGUGGGAGGCUUUGAAGUGUGGACGCCAGUCUGCAUGGAGCCGACCUUGAAAUACCACCCUUUAAUGUUUGAUGUUCUAACGUGGACCCGUUAUCCGGGUUGCGGACAGUGUCUGGUGGGUAGUUUGACUGGGGCGGUCUCCUCCUAAAGAGUAACGGAGGAGCACGAAGGUUGGCUAAUCCUGGUCGGACAUCAGGAGGUUAGUGCAAUGGCAUAAGCCAGCUUGACUGCGAGCGUGACGGCGCGAGCAGGUGCGAAAGCAGGUCAUAGUGAUCCGGUGGUUCUGAAUGGAAGGGCCAUCGCUCAACGGAUAAAAGGUACUCCGGGGAUAACAGGCUGAUACCGCCCAAGAGUUCAUAUCGACGGCGGUGUUUGGCACCUCGAUGUCGGCUCAUCACAUCCUGGGGCUGAAGUAGGUCCCAAGGGUAUGGCUGUUCGCCAUUUAAAGUGGUACGCGAGCUGGGUUUAGAACGUCGUGAGACAGUUCGGUCCCUAUCUGCCGUGGGCGCUGGAGAACUGAGGGGGGCUGCUCCUAGUACGAGAGGACCGGAGUGGACGCAUCACUGGUGUUCGGGUUGUCAUGCCAAUGGCACUGCCCGGUAGCUAAAUGCGGAAGAGAUAAGUGCUGAAAGCAUCUAAGCACGAAACUUGCCCCGAGAUGAGUUCUCCCUGAGACUUAGAGUCUCCUGAAGGAACGUUGAAGACGACGACGUUGAUAGGCCGGGUGUGUAAGCGCAGCGAUGCGUUGAGCUAACCGGUACUAAUGAACCGUGAGGCUUAACCUUACAACGCCGAAG